CUACUUUAGCAGUACAUAUCCUAAAAUUGGAAUGAUACAGAGAAGAUUAGUAUGGUCCCUGUGCAAAGAUGACACACAAAUUCGUGGAACAUACCAUAUUUUC
rfam:Octopus bimaculoides Scaffold22168_contig_53, whole genome shotgun sequence.